rnacentral:rRNA from 1 species
AGGAUGAACGCUAGCGGCAGGCUUAAUACAUGCAAGUCGAGGGGUAGCAGGUAGCAAUACGCUGACGACCGGCAAACGGGUGCGGAACACGUACACAACCUUCCUUUUAGUGGGGAAUAGCCCAGAGAAAUUUGGAUUAAUACCCCGUAAGAUAUUAGAUCGGCAUCGAUUAGAUAUUAUAGGUUUACCGCUAAGAGAUGGGUGUGCGGCUGAUUAGGUAGUUGGCGGAGUAACAGCCCACCAAGCCAACGAUCAGUAGCUGAUGUGAGAGCAUGAUCAGCCACACGGGCACUGAGACACGGGCCCGACUCCUACGGGAGGCAGCAGUAAGGAAUAUUGGACAAUGGACGCAAGUCUGAUCCAGCCAUGCCGCGUGAAGGAUUAAGGCCCUCUGGGUUGUAAACUUCUUUUAUAGGGACGAAAAAGGGCUUUCUAGCUCGACUGACGGUACCCUAUGAAUAAGCACCGGCUAACUCCGUGCCAGCAGCCG